rnacentral:ncRNA from 2 species
CUCUUAUUCAGAGUGGUGGAGAUACAUAGGAUCUAUGAAGCCACGGCAACCCCUCUACGGAAGGUGCCAACCUGAGCGAGCAAUCGAACAAUAAGAG